rnacentral:tRNA from 1 species
AAGGAUGAAGCUAACGCAUUUAAUUGUUGAUUAAAAUAUUGCAUAUAGAAUAGUAUGCCUUCCUUGA